GAUGAACGCUGACAGAAUGCUUAACACAUGCAAGUCGAUGGGGAAAUGGAGCUUGCUCCUGUGGGAACCUGUGAGCAGACGGGUGAGUAACACGUACGGAACUUACCUGCGGCACCUGCAUAACGACAAGAAACUGCUGGUGAGACCGGAUAAGGACAUUCUGCUGCAUAGUCUUAGUGAUGAAAGGAGACACCUGUCGUAUAGCCUUGCGUACUAUUACCUAGUUGGAGGGGUAACGGCCCACCUGAGCGAAUAUAGGUAGCCGACCUGAUAGGGUGAUCGGCCACACUGGAACUGACACACGGACCAGACUCCUACCGGAGAGCAGCUACUAGGGAAUCUUCCGCAAUGUGCGAAAGCCUGACGGACCAACUCCACGUGAGUGAUGAAGGUCUUCGGAUCGUACAACUCUGUUAUUAGGGAAUAAUAAAUGUGUAAGUAACUAUGCACGUCUUGACGGGACCUAAUCAGAAAUCCACGGCUAACUACGUGUCACCACCCGCGGUAAUACGUAGGUGGACAAGCGUUAUCCAGAAUUAUUGGGCGUAAAGCGCGCGUAAGCGGUUUUUUAAGUCUGAUGUGAAAGCCCACGGCUCAACCGUGGAGGGUCAUUGGAAACUGGAAAACUUGAGUGCAGAAGAGGAAAGUGGAAUUCCAUGUGUAGCGGUGAAAUGCGCACAGAUAUGGAGGAACUCCAGUGGCGGAGGCGACUUUCUGGUCUGUAACUGACGCUGAUGUGCGAAAGCGUGGGGAUCAAACAGGAUUAGAUACCCUGGUAGUCCACGCCCUAAACGAUGAGUGCUAAGUGUUAGGGGGUUUCCGCCCCUUAUUGCGUGCAGCUAACGCAUUAAGCACUCCGCCUGGGGAGUACGACCGCAAGGUUGAAUCUCAAAGGAAUUGACGGGGACCCGCACAAGCGGUGGAGCAUGUGGGUUAAUUGAGAAGCAACGCGAACAACCUUACCUAAUCUUGACAUCCUCUGACCCCUCUAGAGAUAGAGUUUUCCCCUUCGGGGGACAGAGUCACAGGUGGCGCAUGGUUGUUGUCAGCUCGUGUCGUGAGAUGUUGGGUUAAGUCCCGCAGCGAGCGCACCCCUUACUCUUAGUUGCCAUCAUUAAGUUGGGCACUCUAACUUGACUGCCGGUGACAAACCGGAGGAAGGUGGGGAUGACGUCAAAUCAUCAUGCCCCUGAUGAUUUGGGCUACACACGUGCUACUGUGGACAAUCCAAAGGGCAGGGAACCCGGGAGGUCAAGCAAUUCCCAUAAAGUGGUUCUCAGUUGGGAUUGUAGUCUGCAACUCGACUAUCUGAAGCUGGAAUCGCUAGUAAUCGUAGAUCAGCAUGCUACGGUGAAUACGUUCUCGGGUCU
rnacentral:rRNA from 1 species